rnacentral:piRNA from 1 species
UAUUCUUGCUAGGACUAGAAGACUUUGAA